UACGAGGGGGGCGAGCGUUGUUCGGAAUUAUUGGGGCGUAAAGGGUGCGUAGGCGGUUCCGCAAGUCCUGUGUGAAAUCUUCGGGCUCAACUCGAAGGCUGCACGGGAAACUCGGGGCUUGAGUGUGGGAGAGGUGAGUGGAAUUCCCGGGUGUAGCGGUGAAAUGCGUAGAUAUCGGGGAGGAACACCUGUGGCGAAAAGCGGCUCACUGGACCAUAACUGACGCUGAUGCACGAAAGCUGGGGGGAGCAAACAGG
rnacentral:rRNA from 1 species